rnacentral:rRNA from 1 species
GACGAACGCUGGCGGCGUGCCUAAUACAUGCAAGUAGAACGCUGAAGGAGGAGCUUGCUCUUCUGGAUGAGUUGCGAGCGGGUGAGUAACGCGUAGGUAACCUGCCUGGUAGCGGGGGAUAACUAUUGGAAACGAUAGCUAAUACCGCAUAAGAGUAGAUGUUGCAUGACAUUUGCUUAAAAGGUGCAAUUGCAUCACUACCAGAUGGACCUGCGUUGUAUUAGCUAGUUGGUGAGGUAACGGCUCACCAAGGCGACGAUACAUAGCCGACCUGAGAGGGUGAUCGGCCACACUGGGACUGAGACACGGCCCAGACUCCUACGGGAGGCAGCAGUAGGGAAUCUUCGGCAAUGGACGGAAGUCUGACCGAGCAACGCCGCGUGAGUGAAGAAGGUUUUCGGAUCGUAAAGCUCUGUUGUAAGAGAAGAACGAGUGUGAGAGUGGAAAGUUCACACUGUGACGGUAUCUUACCAGAAAGGGACGGCUAACUACGUGCCAGCAGCCGCGGUAAUACGUAGGUCCCGAGCGUUGUCCGGAUUUAUUGGGCGUAAAGCGAGCGCAGGCGGUUAGAUAAGUCUGAAGUUAAAGGCUGUGGCUUAACCAUAGUACGCUUUGGAAACUGUUUAACUUGAGUGCAAGAGGGGAGAGUGGAAUUCCAUGUGUAGCGGUGAAAUGCGUAGAUAUAUGGAGGAACACCGGUGGCGAAAGCGGCUCUCUGGCUUGUAACUGACGCUGAGGCUCGAAAGCGUGGGGAGCAAACAGG